rnacentral:rRNA from 1 species
CAUGAAGCUGGAAUCGCUAGUAAUCGCGGAUCAGAAUGCCGCGGUGAAUACGUUCCCGGGUCUUGUACACACCGCCCGUCACGCCAUGGGAGUCGGAAAUGCCCGAAGUCUGUGACCCAACCGCGAGGAGGGAGCAGCCGAAGGCAGGUCGGAUGACUGGGGUGAAGUCGUAACAAGGUAAC